ACCCUUGUGGAGGAGGACGCCGAAGGUGGGGCUAAUGACUGGGGUGAAGUCGUAACAAGGUAGCCGUACCGGAAGGUGCGGCUGGAUCACCUCCUAACAGGGAGACAACAAAAUGUUUAAUAUUAUUAUUUUGUCACCUUAGGUCGAUCGGUAUCUCACAUUCUUGAUUUAUCAAGAAUUUUAUUUCCUAAGUUUUUCUAGGUCACACCCAUUAUUUUUCCUGGGCCAUUAGCUCAGGUGGUUAGAGCGCACCCCUGAUAAGGGUGAGGUCCCUGGUUCAAGUCCAGGAUGGCCCAUAUCUCUAUGUUGGGGGUAUAGCUCAGUUGGUAGAGCGCCUGCUUUGCAAGCAGGAUGUCAGCGGUUCGAGUCCGCUUACCUCCACUGAUUACCACCUCUUCCAUAUUUUUAGAAAGGAAAAUUUUGAGUUGUGAUCAAAUUCUGAACGAAUCUAGCUUCCUAAUGUAAUCAUUAAGAUGCUGGACUCAUUGAAUUAAUUUCAUUGAUUUCAGAGAACCUUGACAACUGCAUAGAUUAUUUUUUAAAGACAAUAAGCAUCUUUAAUGAUGCAGAUUUAUUAUUUGUGCUAAUGCAUUAAUAACAAUUCUAUUAAGCUGAUGCUUCAAUUUUUGAAGUUAUUGGUCAAGCUACAAAGGGCUCACGGAGGAUACCUAGGCACACAGAGGC
rnacentral:misc_RNA from 1 species